UACGGGGGGGGCAAACGUUGUUCGGAAUUACUGGGCGUAAAGCGAGUGUAGGCGGUUUGGUAAGUCGGAUGUGAAAGCCCCGGGCUCAACCCGGGAAGUGCACUCGAUACUGCCAAGCUAGAGUAUCGGAGAGGUUGGUAGAAUUCUCGGUGUAGAGGUGAAAUUCGUAGAUAUCGAGAGGAACACCGGUGGCGAAGGCGGCCAACUGGACGAAUACUGACGCUGAGACUCGAAAGCGUGGGGAGCAAACAGG
rnacentral:rRNA from 1 species